rnacentral:rRNA from 1 species
UACGUAGGGGCCAAGCGUUGUCCGGAUUUAUUGGGCGUAAAGAGCUCGUAGGCGGUUCGGCAAGUCAGCUGUGAAAAUCUCCACGCUCAACGUGGAGGGGUCAGCUGAUACUGCUGUGACUCGAGUCCGGUAGGGGAGUGGUGGAAUUCCCGGUGUAGCGGUGAAAUGCGCAGAUAUCAGGAGGAACACCGGUGGCGAAGGCGGGUCUCUGGUCUGUAACUGACGCUGAGGCGCGAAAGCGUGGGGAGCAAGCAGG